CCUACGGGUGGCUGCAGUGGGGAAUAUUGGACAAUGGGCGAAAGCCUGAUCCAGCCAUGCCGCGUGUGUGAAGAAGGCCUUCGGGUUGUAAAGCACUUUCAGUGGGGAAGAAAGCCUUGGGGCUAAUACCCUCGAGGAAGGACAUCACCCACAGAAGAAGCACCGGCUAACUCCGUGCCAGCAGCCGCGGUAAUACGGAGGGUGCGAGCGUUAAUCGGAAUUACUGGGCGUAAAGCGCGCGUAGGCGGUCUGAUAAGCCGGUUGUGAAAGCCCCGGGCUCAACCUGGGAACGGCAUCCGGAACUGUCAGGCUAGAGUGCAGGAGAGGAAGGUAGAAUUCCCGGUGUAGCGGUGAAAUGCGUAGAGAUCGGGAGGAAUACCAGUGGCGAAGGCGGCCUUCUGGACUGACACUGACGCUGAGGUGCGAAAGCGUGGGUAGCAAACAGGAUUAGAUACCCUUGUAGUCC
rnacentral:rRNA from 1 species